rnacentral:lncRNA from 1 species
GCCAGAGUGAGGCAGGCUUUGAGGAGCUUGCCAAGGAGGGCGAAGGCCUUGCUUUGAAAACACUUCUCCAGUUUGCUGACUCGUGGGACUUGGCAAGCCCAGGGAAUAGUGCUGAAGGGAAGAAAGCCCCUGGAGGGGCCUCCCGGGCGGCUGCAGGCAACCCUGCUCUUUUCAUUGGCCCCAUGUGACGCCCACAAGGGAGCAGGCCUCGAAGGCCUUGUAAAUGAGUGUUUGCAGGGCCCCUCCCUGACUACAGCCCAUAUGUCAGGACACACACCUCCGGACUGCUAAAUGGCUGAGAAAAGGACAACCGUUUUCCGUGUUGGUACGACAUGCAGCAUUGGCCAGUCAAGGAUUGAGAUCAGUCAGAGUGACAGUUUCUGGGGAAACCCUCAAUACCUUUAAGGGGAGAUCAAGGACUCUAUUGAGUUGCAGAGAAGUUACUGAAGCCAUUCAUCCAUUUGGCCAACAGCCAUCAACGCAGGCCAAGGGUGUACAUGGUAAACAACCGAGAGAUAGGAAAAAGGGAUACUGGUAGAGAUGCAAGUGGUUUCUCUCUGACUGGGCCCCUAACAAGUGGCAACCCCAAGAUCCUGCCGUCCAUCCAGCAGUUUGGGGAGGCAGGCAGCAAACAAACUCAUAAAGAAAGAGAAUGUGAGAUGAUGCCUCAUAAACAGAGAACUGGUUCCCGGAUAGCCAUGAUGGCAAAAGCAAGCCAGGCAGCUGGCUUUCCUGAGGAGGCACAUGGUGGCUCUGUCGGGGCCAUCAAAGUUGUCUCAGGGCUUCCGUCCACUGGAGACUGCUGCAAGCUGACAAUUUCAAAUCCAUUUGCAUCCACUUAGCUUUCCAGAGACCAAGGCAUUUUUCAGCUACAGCAAACAACACAUGAAUGUGAAGCUCGGAGCAGGCAGCACAGGGCAAAAAAGGAUUGGGAAGUCUCUGGGGCUGCUGCUAACUUGUCUUGAAAAAUCAAAAUGAACUUUUUUCUUCAAAGAUUCUGCUUCAAUUCAUCAUCAUUAUAAAAACACUCAAGUCCUUGAGGUCUGAGGCUGCAGUGAAUGCAUACAAAAUGGGUUUUCUGCAGGGGAAAAAACAUAUAAUAAUGUCCUAAAGCUCUUCUUUUGAGCUAUGGGCAGCAGGGAAGUCUGGUUUGAAAUCCAACCUUCACCUCCACUGAGCAAAUUUUGUUAAUUAGGAUGUGUUUGCCCUCCUUAAGGCACCUUCUUUCUCAGGAGAUUUGUAUCUGGGGAGGGCCUUUCCGAAAGGUAGAACAUCUUUAAUUAUUCAAACUGCUGGACCCUGGAGCAUGAUAUCCCCUUUGCCAGCUGUCAUUGGCACCCCAAAAGUAACACAGACUUCAUUAGUGUAUCAUGGAAACUCUAUUAUAGAUGGGGGCUGGGGGUUGUUAACCUGGUUUAUUAGUGUAACACUUCAGGUCCAUAUGGUAAAAGGGCUUCUGUGGGCUGGGCUGAGACUCACCAGGCAUGAUAGUGUUUCUUAGGAAAGUAAGUUCUGAUUUCCAAGUGGCUGCCUUUGAAUCUGGAAUGCAAGCCAUUUCUAAGAAGGAAAAUGCCCUGAAAUAUUAGAUGCAUGUUUUUUCCCAUUAUUUCAGAGGUGAGGAAUGCAGUUAUCUUGAACUUCCUUUAGAUAGAUGGUUUCCUUUUCUCCUUCUCCCCCUUCUUCCUCUUUCCCCACCUCCAUGCCAUUUUAUGAGCUGAUAAACCAUUAGUAGUUAACAUGGACUUCUCAGAAGGCAGUCAAGGAUAAACUUUGCCAGAAAGGGCUGAUUCAGGUGGGGUUACAUGACAGGCUCUGUAGUCCCGAGGGACACUUUUCCAGACUUGAGCAUAAUAUGAAUUCAGGGAGGCAAGAAAGAAGAGUCACAAGAUGAGCCCUCAGGACAUCCUUGCAUAAACCCCCAAAGUCAGGGGCUUAAGAAAGAGAUGUGAGGAAGAAGAUAAGAUCCAGAAGCAAAGAAAUUUGUUAGAGACAGACUGGCAAAGACAGAAGACCAUAGCAAGGACAAUUCUGAGUCCAGCAGUGGACCAGGUACAAUGACAGCCAGCUCUCCCUACCCAUGGGUUCCAUAUCAGUGGCUCCCACCAUCCAUGGACAGAGAAUACUCAGCAAAAAUAUUACAUCUCUACUGAAUGUGUACAGACUUCUAUUCUUUAUCAUUAUUUGCUAAAUAAUAUAAUAGAAAAACUCUCUACAUAGCACUUACAUUGUAUUAGGGUAGAAGUAAUCUAGAGAUAAUUUAAAGCAUACAAGAGAAUGUACAUAGACUAUAUGAAAAUACUAUUCCAUUUUAUAUUGGGACUUCAGCAUUUGCAGAUUUUGGUAUCUUCAGGGAUCGUAGAGCCUGUUCCCCAUAGAUACCAAGGGGUGACUAUACUUGAUGAGUUUUGGAUAGGCCCAAGUGAAAAGCAAACAUAGAUUAUGAACAACUCCUUUCACAGUGAAAAUCAAAAGGCUACUCUCCUUCCUCCAGAGGACAAUGAAUUCCCCCCCCUUAGAGCCAAGUGGUGCAAGCUUGGUAGCCCCUUCCUAGGUCUACUGGAGAGAAGGUAGCAGUCAGGCCAAGAUCCAGUAUGCCCUGGAACUCCCUGCUAGAGGUGCUCAUGACACCUUCCCUCCAUGAAAUGUGGUCAAUGUCAGAAUAGACAAGUAGGGAGAGAAACACCUCACUUCCAUCCUGGUAUGCAGAGGCCAUACUGAAAACCACUAGCAAUCUCAGCAACACAGCACUGGCCCAACCGAUGGAUAUGAUCACAGGCAUAGCCAGCCUCACACAAGGCCCACAGGCUAAAGACCACCUCUGCAUAGCUGUGUCAGUCAGUAAAGCAUCUUUCAAGAUUAAACAAGAAAAUACAUUAGUGAAGGAUGUAUGAUGCCUUCGUAUAAGACUUUACAUUCAAUCAUUAUUAUAAUCUUGUGUAGGACACACUUUCUAAGCAUGAGACCUGUGCAGUGAUAUGGGACACCACAAACCUAAAGGGACCCCACUUGUGGCUAAUGCUCUGCUAUCACUUUCCCGAUAUUCUUUAUUUCAGAACAAAGAGCCUGCAUUUUCUUUUCUUUUCUUUUUUGGGGCAGAGGGAGUACUGGAGAUCGAACUCAGGACCUUGCACUUGGGAGUCAGGUGCAGUGCCACUGAGCUAAAUCCCUAGCCCUGCAUUUUCAUUUUGUAUUGGAGUCUACAAAAUAUGUUGUUGGUCCUUGUCCAAUGGGGGAAAAAACACAGGUGUUACCAACUGCCCCAUUUACAGAUCCAGAAAAAGAGGAUUAAGCAGGUUAAACGGCUUCCCUAGGCUCACCUCACUAGUAAGCAGCUAACUCCAGCUCCAGACCUCACACUUCCUGUGUUAGAUAGCUUUGUGCCACUGGGACAAAAUGCCCGAACAAAAAACAACUUAACAGAGGAAAAAUCUAUGUUGACUCAUGGUUUCAGAGGUCUCAGUUCAUGGUCACUUGGCUGCCCCCAACAGGAGCUGUCCAAACUGGGCCAGACUGGACCAAGCUGGGCCAGUCAGAUUUUCUUUCCCGGGAAUCUGGAAUUGGCAUCCAGCCAACAAGGGGCAAAAGAAACAGCUGGAGCAGUUGUUGAAACAGAGGAAGGGUAGAUUCGGGCAUAGGACAGUCAUGUAAUAACAUUUGCAUCUCCUAUCCUUUCUCCCCACACUCCAAAUUUAUGACUCCCAGAAACAUAGCUAGAGGAAAAGGUCAGGGUCUACCAUAUUGCCAGGAGAUAAUAAUCCAGACAUUUUAGGGGAAACUUCCUUAUGUGAUCUCACUUGUGGCUGAAAACCUACCAGACCUGCUGGUCAUGGGAGUUACAUGAGGAUGGACAGCUGUGAUUGCUAACAUUUCUUAUUCAUGCUGCUACUAUUGUUUAAUCUGUAUAAAUAUAUGUAGCACUUCCUAUAUUCCAGAUACUAAUCUAAGUGCUUUACAUAUAUCAAUUCAUUUAAUUUUCCUAAAAGCCUAUAAAAUAGGUAUUACUAUCAUCAUUCCUGGUCUAUAAGUAAAGAAGCUAAGGCACAAAGAAGUUAUGUACCCCACCCAAAAUCACACAGCUCAUAUGUGGUAGAGCCAGGCUUUGAACUCAACAGCCUGACUGCAAGCAAAGUCUGAAUUCUUAACAUUCACCAACUACCUCUCGAAAUAUUAUCCUGGCUGGUCUGAAAUAAAUAACAUGCAAUUUCCACUUCUCAGUUUAAUUUUACCUAAUCACAAUGCAAUGUUUUAAAAAUGUUGCUUAUUUAGAAUCAAAAAAGCCUCUGAGCAGUCAAAAUAAAAUGACAAUGCAAAAGCAUGAGCACUCAGUCCCUAAGAUUUUCACUCAACCCUCAUUUACUCACAUUCUCUCUCCCUCUCCUCUUCUUCUUUUUACAUGUAAAAAAGAAUCUAGGGUAGAGUUUCACCUAGGAUAUGGACCAUUAUCUGUAUCCAAAUGAUCCAAAAUGUAUCACUUCCUCUCAGGUACAGCUUUCAAUCUGUCCACUUGGGGUUCUGCAUAUCCGCAAUUUUGAUCCCAAGGAAGGAUCACACUACAGGGUCUUACCCUUUCCUACCAGCUGGUGUGUGCUCAGAACAUGCACAACUGGAGCCAAUAUACACAGGACUGUAGAAAUGGGCCCAAAGAACCACCCCAUGGGACUCUCAAAGUCAAAUAUAGAAAGUCAUUGGGGUCCUCUCUUCAGUUUGCCUUCUGCUAAGGGAAAGGAGUCAAACGCAUUCGGAACUCUCCGUCCCUUGUCUUGUAACCAUCCUCUUUCUCACUGAGCCCCUUUAGACUUUAGAUUCUCUAUUGAAUGCUUCACUCUUUCUUAAUUUUUGCUUUUUAAUCUAGCUAACUCUGGUGUAAUAUCAUCUUUGUUUUUAAAUACCUUGUUCUUAAAAGGCCUACAAUACGGUAUGUAUACAUAUAAACUUCCCUUAGUGAAUGUAUCCAUUAUCUAUAGCAAACAUGUACUAAUAAAAUAGUAAAAUAAGUAUAUAAAUACUUCCUUCUUAGUAAAGUGUAAAUUCUACCAUAUGUAAUAUAGUUCAUUCAGUAAAUAUUUUGAUCUAUGUAUUCUGUAUUUUAUUAUUAUGUACAGUAAAUAUAUUUAAUAAAAUUCUUUAAUUCAUAAAAUAGAUUCCUUACCCAAACUGCUAAUAGAGUUGUGAUUUGGGUUCUCCAGAAAAUGGUCAUGGUGUUGGUUCUCCCCUGUCAGCAUCUCACUCUUAGCAGAUGCUUUAAAAUAUUCUUAUUUGAAUUGACUUGCUAGGCUAGGUAGCUUUCAAGAACUGGGUGUGUGUAGUUUCAGUCCAUCUGUCUACUCAGCAAGGUCUUGGCAGCACUAACUCUUCCUUUACACCUAACACAUAUUUAUUAUUCUUUACACUUCUUUCCUUAAAUUCUGAAAUCUUUUUUUUUUUUUUUGGUACUGGGGAUUGAACCCGGGUCCUUGAGCUUGCUAGGCAGGUGGUGAAACCACUGAGCUAAAUCCCCAGCCCCUUCUGAAAUCUUAAUUACUGGCAAUACCACCCUGAAUGACUCCUGCCAUCAGCACUGGAACUGACCAUUCCUUCAACACUUACAGAGGAUUUUGCUGUGCACCAAGACUAGGAACUAAAGCAAUGACAGCUAUUUCGUUUGUCCCCAACAGCCAUGUGACAUUCUCCCUUCUUCCCCAAACAUGGAGUCCUGUCAGCUGGUCUUGUUGACCACCAUACAGAACAGCCUGUACCUCAUAAGAUGCCUGUCUCAGUGUGGGGCAGAGAUUUCUCGUUAAGGAUGUUCCAGCCGUGAACUCUACUGAAAGGCUGGUUUCAAGCUCCUGGAUGCAAAUGACCCUCCUGCUUCAGCCUUUCAAGUACUAUAAUUACACUCAACCAUCGUGCCCAGAUGUUUCCGGUGCCAGGCCCUAGUGACUCUUCACAUCAGUUCAGUCGUGACACUGGUAGAAUCAGCAUAAGGAUAUUGGAAAUAUUCCUGGAAACCACUCCUACACUCUAGAAUGGCUAGAAAUAUUUAUACACAGAAGUGACUGUGAAUGCCUCUAACCCAAACUGUUUGCCUAACUCCACUUUCCUUAGCCCAAUGCCCAAGAUGCCUGAAAUCAUCAAUUCAAGGAAAGAGUUUAGUGGAGAGAAAAAUCAGACUAGAAAGAGACAGUGUCUUAAUGAACUAUCAUUAUCUAUUUGUACAAAUUUUCCCAAAACUCUAUGACCACAUGAACACUCUAGUGGAGACUUUACAGUGUUAUGAAAGUGAAGAGGCUCAAGUUGAGGCUUUAUCUGUAUGUAACUUAACUCUGGCACCAGUCAAUCAAAAAAGACAGCAGGCAUGAAAAGCCAGCUCCUUUUUCUGAUGUAUACAAGCUGCCUGAGCAUUCCUGCAUGCUGACUACUGAUGCUUGUAAGUAUCUGCAGGUAAUACACUUCCACAAAGACGUAUUCUAACUUGUUACAAAUUGUGUUUUGCCAUAUUUUUCUUAAAGACUUCAUUCUUGUCUACCUUUAAACUCUCCUUUGCUAUAUUUUUUGUUUGUUUGUUUGGGUUUUGAGACAGGGUCUCCCUAUGUAGUCCAGGCUGGACUCAAACUCUCCAAAAUUCUCCUACCCCAGCCUCCCAAGUGCUGAGAUUAUAGGCGUGUGCCACCACCCUGGCUUCUUUGCUGUAUUAUCAGGCUCUUUCAUUUUUCAUGUGUUUUGCAGCCAUGAUCUGCAUAUAGAUUUUAAAAUGUUUGUUGUAUUAAGGGGCUUAAUAAAGAAAGAAUUACACAACAGACAGGUUUUGGAAGUCCUCCUUUGUGAGUGUCUUUAGUUGCUCUUUAGUUUGCAUUGAUUCAAAAUGUUUACCUUUCGUGGUCAUUUUGACUUUGGGGAAGAGCCAGAGGUUGCAUAGUGCCAAAUCUGCUGAAUAAAGUGGAUAAGGACAUACCAUAAUGUUUUCACAAGGCUCCUUUGCCACUGGAAUGCAUUUGGCAGCAGUAUUCACCAUAUUUUAUUUUCUAACACCUUGUAAAGGCACUCACAAGUGAGGUCCUCUCUUCAGAAAGUAGCAACAAUGGGACAGUGUGUUCAAAUUGAGAGGGAGUAUUCUGAGGGAAAUUAAUGGCAAUGUGUCUUUUACUGUAGUAAAUUUUAAAAAUUUAAAUGUUCACUGUAUAUUUUAAUUGUACUCUGUAAGAAUAGCUUGAAUUAAAAUGCAAAAUGUGGACUUAGGCAAAGGAAAGUAUUAAACAAUAAACUAAUGACUGAAAUGACCAAGUUAAAGAGAGUCCUAAGAAGCAUUUCCCAGGUCAAGAGCUAGAUUUGUGUCUGUUCACUGGUUUCUCCUCUAGUAGAAUCUAAGAGUAUUGAAGGCAAGGGCUAUAUAUUCAUCUCAUGUGUACAGCCUGAUACAUGUGCAGUCAGCUUUACUGAAUAAGAAAAGUAAUGAGUUGUGAUGAAAGACUAACAGAAACUGUGCUGUGUUAAUGAAUGAACACAUGAAACAACAAGUAUGAGGAAUGGUCAUGCUUUUUUGUUGCUGGUUAGGAGUCACUGGAAAUCUUGGCAAGUGUGACUCUGGCAAAGGUGAAGCAGAGGAAGUUAGAUCUGAGAAAUUCCGGAAGAGUGUUGUUUAUUAAGGAAACUCACUGUGGAUGCUGUUGCAGGAUGUAGGAGUAAGAUGGAAGGGAAGUGCAGUUGUUAACAGGGCCAAACAUCUGGGCUUUUUUGUAUUCAAAAAGAGGAGGUAGGAUCUAAAGAAGAGAAGAAGGGAGUUGGGGGACAGGAGGCAGAGUAGAGUAUCAUCAAGAUGAGUGUGAUAAAAGGUCUUCACACAAGCAGUGACUCAAAGGCUAGUGUGGUGCGGGGUCCUGGAUCUUGGCCCCCUUUUAGGAAAUGUGUACACCAUGGGCCAUGACACCAGCAGGAGUAAAUGAGUGGCCUGGUGAAAAGGAGUGAUAUCCUAAGAGAGGUCAUGGGGGCACAGGUGACGGGAGAGGAAGCCACAUGUGGCACUCACUAAUGGCAACGAUGGAACCGGAAUGCUUGGAAAGUCCCUCAUGGGAGACAAGGAGCAUUCUACCUCGGCCAAAUGAAUAAACACAAUAUAAAGUUUUCUUCAGUGGCCCCCAGGAUUUGCCAUCCUCCUAUUUCCAUGGAGGACUCCUAAAGUCAACAGAAUUAUCCUGUGGGUCAGAGCCAUGCUGAAAAGCAGUGUGGGAAGAGCACAGCCUACUCUACUAUAUUUUGACCUUGGAGUUUAUUUCCACUCUGUCUUUUUCUUUGAUCCCAAAGUUCACAAUAGCCUUUCCUUAGAUGUGUGCAUGUUUUACCUAAGUAAAUUACUCUGUGGUAGUAACCUUUUAAUUUUCUUAAUUAAAUGUGCUCUGUAUCCCAGUUAGCCAGAUCUAUGUUGAGUUUUUUGUUUGUUUAUUUGUUUGUUUUUGGCACCAGGGAUCGAACUCAGGAUCUUGUGCUUGUGAGGCAGGUGACGGCACCACUGGGCUAAAUCUUCGGCCUAUGUUAACUUUUAAUGUAAUCACCAAGAUGAUUUCCCACCCAACACAGCAUUAUACACAUAUUGAGGUUUACACUAUCCACUUAUUCUGGUUCACUCUUCUUAGGUUAGCUUUUCCCACUUUUUUUCUCUAUACCUUUUGAUUCUUUGACCUAAACACAAAAUGAACACAAAUCUAGAAAGAGAGAAACAGAACAAGAGAGUGAAGCUCAUUCUGGAAGCAAAAAAGAGAGGCCUUUCUAUUUCAUUGGCUGGCAAUAAAGCCUGAAACUCCAUCACCAUGUUGCCUGGCAACUUAGGAAAUAUUUUUGUGAUUAAACAAAAAAUAUCUGGAGUAAAUUCACAAUGAAACAGCUAAAACGCAUUAUAUCAUCCUGCAUUUCACCAUUAAAACAUGAGUAGCAGACACUUUGGGACAGAUAACCCUCAAGAAAACAAAAACAAACAUGCUGGCAAUGCCAAGAGGCAGGAGGGACCAGGAAAUGGCCUGGACUGGGACCAGAAGUCCGAGGCAAAUCUCAAACCCUUUGAGGCACUUGGUGUUUUUCAUCCGCAAAAAGAACAAGUGGGAUUAAUGAGCUCUGACAUUUCAUAAUUCAAAAGAAACAGUAAAAACUAGGAGCAUAGAACCAGUCAUUUUUUUGAACUGCAGCAUUUAUUAUGCUUGGGUAGGCUAUGAACACAGGCCUAAAGGGUGAAAAUCAUUCAUCUUGCCUUAAAUGAAAUCCACAGUGGGGUUGUUAGGUUCCCAUAAGCUAUCAAUGCCUGCUUAUUACAAGUAACCCCUUCUUUAGAAAAGCAGAAGCUCAGCAUUAUGAAAGCUGCUCAUCUCAUUAAGAGAAACAAACAAACAAAACCCUCCUGGAAAUUUCUUCAACACUAUUACAACAAGCAAUCCCAGAGUCAAGAAGUCCAGGCAAACUUAAAGUAACUUGUUUGUGGAAAUCACAAAUGAAUAGGCUAUAAAAAUAUCCAAAAAGAGAAGGUGUGGUUGCAAACUAAAAACUGCAGCAACAAAGCUUUGAAGAAUAUAGUGUGGCUGUUAAAAAUCAAGGAUGCUGGGCUCCAAUCCUGGCUUUACCAUUUACUGGGCUAUCUUUUUUAACUCUCUAUAUCUCAGUUUAUUCAUCCAUAUGGGGGUCAUAAGAGUAGCACACAGCCUCACAGACUUAUCAUACCAGUGAAAUGAGUUAGAAAUGGGCUUACAAUAGUAGCUGACAUAGAGUUAGCUAUUGUUGAAUAAGCCAGUAACUGCUAAUACCAGUACUAGAGUUUGGAUUCAAAGUCCAAGACCACUGAUUAUUAACAGUUGACCUUUGGCCAACCUUCCUGGCCUUUCAAUUCCUCAUCUCUAAAAUGGGAAUAACCAUUACUGUGAGAAUUAAACAAAGUAAUGUUUGUGACAUGCACAGAGCAGCUAUUAUGAAUCAUUACUAUCCAAUAAUCAUCAAGAAAUUUCUCUGCAAUUUAUUUAGCUUCUGUUGUUUUAUUAAUGCCUUAAAAAUAACAAUGAAUGGUGAAGACAGUCAAUUUUAUAUGCAUUUUACCACAAUAAAAACAAAUUAGAAAAAAAUAACAAUGGAUGCGAAAGACAUUUCAAGAAGGAAAGAAUAGUCUUUUCAACAAAUGGUGCUGGGAAAACUGAUAUCCACAUUCAAAAGAAUGAAGUUGGGCCCCUUGCUCACACCAUAUGCAAAGUUUACCUCAAAAUGAGUCAAAGAACUAAAUAUAAGAGCUAACCUUUUAAGCUCAUAGAAAAAAGAUAAGCAUGUCUUUAUGGACUUGAUUAGGCAAUGGUUUCUUAGCUUAGACAUCAAAACCACAAACGAUAUGCACAAAAAAACAGAUAAAUUGGACAUCAUCAAAAUGAACAACUUUUAUACUUCAAAGAGCACCAAUUAAGAAAGUGAAAAAACCCACAGAAUGGGAAAAAUUACUUGUAAAUCAUACAUCUGAUAAGGGACUUGUAUGCAAAAUACUUGAACUUUUAAAACUCAAUAACAAAAAGACAAAUACUUAAUAAAUGGAUAAAGAAUCAGAAUAUACAUUUUUCUGAAAAUAUACAAGUGGUCAAUAAGCACAGAAAAAGAUUCUUUUUUUUUUUUUGGUACUGGGGAUCGAACUCGGGUCCUUGCGCUUGCACAGCAGGCGGCGAAACCACUGAGCUAAAUCCCCAGUCCAGAAAAGGAUUCUUAACAUCAUUACCCAUCAGAGAAAUGGAAAUCAAAACCAAAUAUCACUUUAUAUCCACUAGAAGGGAUAUAAUAAAAAAGACAGAAAUAACCAAGUGUUGGUAGGGAUGUGAACAAAGUUGAGCCAUAAUAUGUACUGCUAGUGAGAGUGUAAAAGAGUGCAAAUAUUUUUUUAGAAAACAGUGUGACUAUUCCUCAAAAGAUUAACCAUAUGGUAAAUGAUAUGACAUAGUAUAUGAUUUGAUAAUUCAAACCUUAGGUAUACACUCAAGAGAAAAACGUACAUACAAAAGUUUGUACACAAAUGUUCAUACCAGCAUUAUUCAUAAUAAUCAAAGAGUGAAAACAACUAAAAUGUCCAUUGACUGAUAAACAGAUAAAUGUGCUAUAUCCAUAACAUGGAAUUGUGUCCAACAAUAAAAAGAAAUUGAUAAACACUACAUGAAUGAAACUUGAAAACCUUGAAAGAAACCAAUCACAAAAGGCCACAUAUUAUAUGAUCCCAUCUGUAUGAAAAGGUAGAAUAGGCAAAUUUAUUAGUGAAAGCAUGUAGACCAGUGGUUUCCUAGAGGUGGGGAUAUGGGAGAGAACAGUUAGUGUGGUAGGGCCCCUCCUGACAUGUCAUGUGGGGUGGGGGGACUUUUUACAAUGUAACAUAUCAGCUUCUGUGUAGGCAUGUGUAGUUCUGAGGCAACUCUGUAACAUAAAUUAUACCCAACCACACUGCAGAAUGUUAAUGUAUACCCAACCAGACUAUAAAAUGAUAGUGUAUGCCCAUAUAAGGGAGACAAAGACACAAAAACUGUAUAAAAGGGUGCAACUACACCAUGUUCAGCACUCACCUUUUGGAUAUGAAUCCACCACUUCCUGAGAAAAACUGCCUCGGUAUCCUGUCUUUCUAUACUAAAAUCCCAUUGCAUUAGGGGAAAAUGAGGAUUGACUGUUGAUGGGUGUGGUUUCCUUUUGGAGUGAUACAAAUGUUCAAGAAUUGGGGAGUUUAGUGAUUGAUCCACAAUUGUAAAUAUCCUAACCACCAUUGAAUUGUGCACUUUAAAUUAGUGAAUUACAAGGUGUGUGAAGUGUAUCUCAAUAAAACUAUUAUUAAAAAUAAUAAUGGAAACAUCAGAAGCUCCAAGAACUGCCCCGCAUACCUCCAGACAGGCCCCAAAUUUAUCUUCCAGCAGAGGUAGCAGAGGCUGCUGAUGGAACUGCCUGGAUGAUUCCCGAAAAAGCCUGGAAGACUUCAGACCAGUGGCCAAAUGCACAUGAGUUCCCUGUGGUCCUUCCUUCCUUGAUCUUCUACCACAACAACAAUGUGUUUCCAUUUAAACUGAUGUAGAUAUGCACUUGUAACAAUGGUGAAUGGUCUCAUUUCUGAAUAUUAGCCUAAAAUGCAGACGAGGAGUGCUCCCAUGUCCUUAGCAUUAGGUAGAUCUUUGGUCAAACUACAGCAUUCUCUUUUACUACUUUCUCCCUUGGGCUCAAGAUGUGUUGUCUGAAAAGUGAGAGAUAGCAGUACAGUAAUACCUCAGCUUAGGAAUGCUCCUGUUCAUGAACAAUUUGGUUUGCAAACAGAAGCAUUUGGAACAACUUUGCUUCCAUUAUCGAACUUUGUAUCAAGUGACAAACAUGAUCGCAGCCAUCUUCCCUAGAUGAACACAAAUGUGACCAUCUUGCCCAGAAUCAUGGAACCAAUUAAGUGCAUGAACCAAGGUACCACUGUACCUCCUUCCCAGAGCUACUUGAAGAUUGAGUAAUGUCAUUAACAAGCUCUUAAAGCAACCUGGCUUCCACCUCUUAUAACACUUUGUCUCAUAAUCAUUCCAUCAACUCAGUGCUUGUCUAGUGGCUGUCAUCCCAAUGGAUUGUAAACUUCAAGAAAGCUUUAUUCAUGGCUGUGUUCCCUGGGACACAGACUAUUAAUAGACAGACUAUUUUGUGCAAUGUGGUGCCUGUGGCACAUGUUAUAUACUCAAUAAAUGUUAGCUCUUACUAGUAAUACCCAGCUCAAACAAUAAAAACAAGCAGUGUAGUCAAGGAAAGACUACCUGGUGAAACCUUUGACCUCAGAACCCUAUUGAAAGAAUGUGAACUCCACCAAGAGGAGCGAGUAUUGUGUUUUCUGUUGCAAAGAAGGACUCAGAGACUCAAAGUCUAUCACACCUACAGACCACCAAGAAAUGAGCUUCUUCCCCCAGACUCUCCCAGCCUGAGCCACAUCACUGCUCUUGAAAUUCAGCCUGAUCUGUGAGUCUGAAUGAAUGUGAGCUGCGUGGGUGGCACACAGUAUGAGCUCCAGCGAGAGGCCCUAGUUCUUUCCCAAGAAGGUGUGACUUUUGAUUUCCUUCAAGUACGAUCAAGGUGGGUGAAGCAGUGGUGUUGGAAGGCUGGUGAGCUGUGGGCUGGCUGAGUCAGUGUUGGACAAGCUCCCCUCGGGAAUUUCCCACAGGGAGGGGAGCAGGUGGCAAUUGUCAGCUGGGAAAUUAACCAGGUGUGACUUUGAGAUCCAUAGGUAGAUUACAGUCUGCCCACAGAAAAGCCUGGGCCUAAUUAAUGAUAUUACUCUGAGUGGAAGUGAGGCCUUAUGCUUGGAAUGAAGUCCUUCACCUUGGCCUUUGUCUCCAAGUGAUAUCCUUUUCUACCUCUCUAGCUCAUGGAGUUGUUACUAGAAUAAAUCAAUGAAAUUAUGUAUAUAUGAAAAAAAUCCUUAGAGACUAAUAACGAAAUAUCAUCUGAAAAAAAUGGUUGGGUUUUCAGAUGGUUUUUGUUUUUGUUUAUUUGUUUUGAAGUGCUAGGGAUAAAACCCAAGAGUUCAUGCAUGCUACGCAAGUCCUCUACCACUGAAAUACAUCCCCAGCCAAUACUGUGUUACUUUUACGAACAAAAAAGUUUUAAUAAAAAUAUAUUGAGACUUAUACUCCCAUAGGAAGAGCCAUGGGAGACAUACAUGAUCAGGGAUCACUGGUCAGGCUGGAAGAGACCCCAGAUGGGUAUAAGCUAAAUGACCCAGGCCCCAAACCCACAGCUAGAAGCCAGGCUCAGCCUGAAUUGAGGUGGAUUUGAAAGUCCCAGAAUUGGCACACCCACCCUAAUCCUACUGACUGCUAGUGAUUGCAGCCUUCGUGGAUGUGGGCUCUGACUGCUUUCUUUAUCUACCAAUGAAAGCAGGGACAGAUAUUGAAUUGGACACCAUCCCAAAAUUGUAGACCCC